GAUCAGCCCACUCCAGUCGCUGCGUUCAUUCAACGACAAUGAGACAGAAAGGAAGUUCAAACCGAGUUGCGGACAUGGUUGCCCAACCACAAUAAACCUACUUUUAAUAAAGUCAAGGACAAAACCCCACGGAAGCACCGAUCCUCAGCCAUGACACGACUGCAGUGACGGGGACGCGGUUGAAGUUACAGGGUGAUUGAUACGCGCUGUACCAACAUUACGCACCAAGGACGCACGCAUAAUAAACCCGAUAAAGAGAGUUGUCGUGGUCGUCCUACCUUCGGCGAGCAGGCGCAUCGCGUGAACAAAGGACGGGUCAAGGCUGUCCUUCUCCGCCAUCAGUUCAGGGGUUGACAGCGUGGAGAAAAAGGAACCCACUCAAAAAAAGCGGGGAGGGGGAAAUCCAGAUUCCAGUGAUGCAGCUCAGUUCAACGGUCCUGGUGGUUGGAAUUUUAGAGGUGUGAACAGCACAUUUCGCUUCCCCCCCCUCUGCAUAGACGGCACCCCGCUGGAGACUUGAGAGUCCCACACUUGGUUUGCGAGCGGUGUGUUCCCCCGCCCCUAAUGCUCCUCAUUGGCCAAAUCCAGGAUCCACGGACGGGCGGUGAUGCCGAACAAACGGGUCCCAGUGAGUGACUGAAUACCUGCACUCACAGACAAGUAUCUCUCACAGCACAUUAUGGCAGGAAGAGAGUAAGAUUACAAUUCGAAGCUGUAUAUUUUGGUAUAGCGAGUAAAAUAAGACCUGUCAUUGAAUAAGUCGAAAUUUAAAGAAAGUCGUUGGGAACCUUCAUGAAAGAUGAGAAUAAGCUCUGAAAUAGGAUGUCUACUUGUGAGCGCAAAAAAUAGCAGAGACUGUCUUUCAAUAUCACCAAUAAAUAAAGUCAGCGAUACCCUCUCAAAUUA